rnacentral:rRNA from 1 species
CCUACGGGAGGCAGCAGUGGGGAAUAUUGGGCAAUGGGCGCAAGCCUGACCCAGCAACGCCGCGUGAAGGAAGAAGGCUUUCGGGUUGUAAACUUCUUUUAAGGGGGAAGAGCAGAAGACGGUACCCCUUGAAUAAGCCACGGCUAACUACGUGCCAGCAGCCGCGGUAAUACGUAGGUGGCAAGCAUUGUCCGGAUUUACUGGGUGUAAAGGGCGUGCAGCCGGAGAGACAAGUCAGAUGUGAAAUCCACGGGCUCAACCCGUGAACUGCAUUUGAAACUGUUUCCCUUGAGUGUCGGAGAGGUAAUCGGAAUUCCUUGUGUAGCGGUGAAAUGCGUAGAUAGAAGGAAGAACACCAGUGGCGAAGGCGGAUUACUGGACGAUAACUGACGGUGAGGCGCGAAAGCGUGGGGAGCAAACAGGAUUAGAUACCCUUGUAGUC